UACGGGGGGCAAGCGUUGUUCGGAAUUACUGGGCGUAAAGGGCUCGUAGGCGGCCAACUAAGUCAGACGUGAAAUCCCUCGGCUUAACCGGGGAACUGCGUCUGAUACUGGAUGGCUAGAGUGUGGGAGAGGGAUGCGGAAUUCCAGGUGUAGCGGUGAAAUGCGUAGAUAUCUGGAGGAACACCGGUGGCGAAGGCGGCAUCCUGGACCACGACUGACGCUGAGUGAGCGAAAGCCAGGGGAGCAAACGGG
rnacentral:rRNA from 1 species